ensembl:lncRNA
AUGGUUGUAGCAGCCAAAGAUUGUUCUAUAGUCAAGGAUGUUGGAAGUGUGGCCAAAGUUACUGGAAGGGUUGUUGUGGUUUCAGCCAUAGUAGAUGUUGGAUUGUUUGUUGUUGUGGAAACCAAAGUUUUAGUUGCCUCAACAAUAAUACCAUUUGUUAGAAGUGCUGAUGUUUUUUCAGGCAUAGUUGUAGUUGGUGUAUCGGUUGUUGAUGUUGGAGCUAGAGUGGAGAAUGUUGAAAGGGUACUUCUGGUAGCCAAAGUUGUUGUUGUUGCACCAAUCAUUGUUGGAAGUACCACUGUUAUUUCAGGAAUAGCUGUGGUUGCUGAAUCAGUUGUCAACAAUUGUGCUACAGUUGAGGAUGUUGGAGGAGUGCUUGUGUUAACCAAAUUUGCUGUUGUUGCACCAAUAUUUGUUGUUGUGUCAGCCAUAGUUGUGGUUGUCAAAGUUGUUGCUGUUGCACCAAUACUUGUUGUGGUGUCAGCCAUAGUUUUGGCUGCCACAUCAGAUGUUGACGUUGGUGGUAUAACUGAUGAUAUUGGCGGGGUGCUUGUGUUGGCAAAAUUUGUUGUUGCACCAGUAAUUGUUGUGGUGUCAGCCAUAGUUGUGAUUGCUGCAUCAGCUGUCAACAUUGGUUCUACAAGUGAAGAUGUUGCAAGGGUGCUUGUGUUAACCAAAGUUGUUGGUGUUGCACUAAUAGGCUUUGCUGGAAGGACUGUUGUCGUUCCAAGCAUAGUAGUGGUUGUUGCAUCAGAUUUUGAGAACUGUGCUACAGUUGAGGAUGUUGGAGGAGUGCUUGUGGGAGUCAAAGUUGAUGUUUUUGAAUCAAUAUUUGUUGUGGUGUCAGCCAUAGUUGUGGAAGCAGCAUCAGAUGCUGACAUUGGUGCUAGAACAGAUAAUGUAGACAAAGCUGUUGUUGCACCAACAGUUGUUGCUGGAUGGACUUUUUUUGUUUCAGGAAUAGUUGUGACUGCCGCACCAGUAGUCAAAGUUGGUGCAAAAGAUGAGGAUGCUGGAGGAGCACUUGUAAUAGUCAAAGUUGUUGUUGUUGCACCAAUAGUUGUUUUUGAAAAUACCAUUGAUGUUUCAGGCAAAGUUCUGAUUGUUGCAUCAGAUGUCAUUGUUGGUGCUAGAACAGAUUUUGUUGUUGCACCAAAAGUUUUUGUUGGAAGAACUGUUUCUGUUUCAGCCAUAGUUGCGUUUGCUGCAUCAGUUGUCAAUGUUGGUGCUACAGAUGAGGACACUGGAGGGGUACUUUUGGCAGCCAAAGCUGUUGCACUAAUAGUUGUUUUGGAAAGUACUGUUGUUGUUUUAGGUGAAGUUGUGGUUGCUGCAUCAGUUGUUGAUUUUGGUGCUAUAUUUGAGGAUGUUGAAGGGAUGGUUGUGUCAGUCAACUUUUGUGCUAUAGAUAAGGAUGUUGGAGAUGUGGCCAAAGUUGUUAUUGUCUCGCCAGUAGCUGUAUUUGGAAGAUAUGUUGUGGUUUCAGCCACAGUAAUUGUUGUAGGAUUGUUUGUUGUUGUGGAAACCAAAGUUGUUGUUGUCUCAACAAUAGUAGCAUUUGUUGGAAACACUGUUGUUAUUUCAGACAUAGUUGUGACUGCUGCAUCAAUAUUAUUUGUUGUUGUUGUUGUUGUAUUUGCACCAGUAGUUGUUGUAUGUUCAGGCAAAGUUGUGGUUGCUACAUUAGAUGAGGACUCUAGAGGGGUGCUAGUGAUAGCCAAGGUUGUUGUUUCAUGA